rnacentral:rRNA from 1 species
UACAUAGGAUGCAAGCGUUAUCCGGAUUUAUUGGGUUUAAAGGGUGCGUAAGCGGAACAUUAAGUCAGCGGUAAAAUCGAGGGGCUCAACCCCUUUAAGCCGUUGAAACUGCAUCCCUUGAGUGCGCGAGAAGUAUGCGGAAUGCGUGGUGUAGCGGUGAAAUGCAUAGAUAUCACGCAGAACUCCGAUUGCGAAGGCAGCAUACCGGCGCGCAACUGACGCUCAUGCACGAAAGCGUGGGUAUCGAACAGG